rnacentral:rRNA from 1 species
GUUACUGCGAAGGGGGGACGGAGAAGGCUAUGUUGGCCGGGCGACGGUUGUCCCGGUUUAAGCGUGUAGGCUGGUUUUCCAGGCAAAUCCGGAAAAUCAAGGCUGAGGCGUGAUGACGAGGCACUACGGUGCUGAAGCAACAAAUGCCCUGCUUCCAGGAAAAGCCUCUAAGCAUCAGGUAACAUCAAAUCGUACCCCAAACCGACACAGGUGGUCAGG